GUUUGGUUUGCGCCUUGCUAGGCCCCAGCCCCCCCACCCCUUCAGGGACCUUCAAGAGCUCGGGACCUAGACGCUAGAUGACUGCACAGCAGCACAGGCCCACAGCCGCCGGGUCUCACCCGAGGAGUGGCUGCACACCAGUGCCCCAAGUGCCAACUGGCCACCCCGCUGAGACAGGGCAGAGACUGCCAGUUGAGUGGAGAGACGGGCGCCAAAUAAUACCAGUGAUAAAACUACUGACAGUUUUUUAAAGCUUACUCUACGCUACCCAUUUUAAACUCAUCACUCAUCACAUGGAGUCAUCACAGCCACCCUCGGAGGUAGGUGUUAUUAUCCAUACCCAUAUUUAUUUUUUACAUGUUCAACUAUAUCAAAUUUACU
rnacentral:lncRNA from 1 species